UUCUUUGAUUGAGAGGAAGAGUAUAUAAAUUCAUUGCUGACUACGAGGGAUCGAACGAGACGCUUCCAAGCCGCCAAGUUGAUUGAGGGAAGUCUACAAGCAGUGGUUUUUCAUAGAAGCUUAUCAGAGAGAUGGAUGCUAGAAAACCUGUUGCGAAACAGCUAGAUAAAGAAGAUGACGACGACGACGACAAAGAUGAAGGAAGCAUCAUAACAGAUGCAGGCUCUCAGUCGAGUCAGUAAUUAACCAAAUUAAUCUGGGUUGUUUGACACGUCUCUUGGGUCAAGAGCUCCUUAUCAGUGAGGGGAAUACAGACGGAUACUGGAACUAAAUUCUAUUGUUAAAGUUGGAGAAGGUAUGCUCACUCUGUUGCUUAGGGAAUCUCUGAUCUCAUUAAACUAUCUGUAUAUGAAUUUCUGGUAAAAGUUGAAUGGUUCACUCAAAAAAUCAUGUUAAAUUGAUUAAGAAUAUAAGCUCAAAAGAGUUUGAUAUGCAGCGAAAGGGGAUUGCUUCGGAAUUAAAUCCCAUAUAUUUUAAUGAAGGGUCAUCUGAAGCUGCAUAUCUUGCUGUUGGCUCUGUCAUCGAGGUAGCAGAGAGGGUUGCCAAAAAGGAAUUGGAUUCUGCUUUUGCUAUCGUUAGACCUCCAGGGCAUCAUGCCGAAGAAGAUGAAGCUAAUGGGGUUCUGUUUAUUUAACAGUGUUGCUAUUGCAACAUGUUUUCUGUUAAAUGAAAGACCAAAUUUGGGUCUAAACCAAAUCUUGUUUGUUAACUGGGAUGUUCAGCAUGGUAAUGGUACUCAAGAAACAUUAUGGAAUGAUCCUUGUGUUCUGUUCUUCUCUGUUCAUAGGCAAAAGGACACCCUUUCUAUGCGUCCACUUUGAAAUGUAAUGCAGAAAACCUCGAGACCGUUGGAAUGUCAAAUCUUCUGGAAUAUAUUUACAUUAACAAAUUUGUCGGACAUGAGAUUGAUCUUUACCUGAUGAAAGUUUUCCUUGAGAAUAUAAAAGCAUUAGUGAAGUUGAUCAUCUCUACCUUUUGGAAUAGUCUUGAAGCUGAUGAUGAAUAGAAAUCUAAGAUUAUUGAGAAGUUAUUGGCAUUUUCAAGAGUUUCAACAAAAGUGGAAGUACUUCUUUUGUAACUUAAUUUUAUUUGCUGAAAAGAGGUAAUAAUGUUUGUGCAAUUUAUUUUUAACACAAUCAAAGGAUUCUCAUGUGUGUCCUUGAGUUUCUUAUGUUCGUUCGUAAUGACACGCCCUUAUCUAUAUUCAGUUGAGAGGUGGCUGGGUUAAAUUCUUUCUUGAUAAUGCUAUAAAGUAAAUGUUACUGUUAAUUGU